GACGAACGCUGGCGGCGGGCUUAACACAUGCAAGUCGAACGGAAAGGCCCUGCUUUUGUGGGGUGCUCGAGUGGCGAACGGGUGAGUAACACGUGAGUAACCUGCCCUUGACUUUGGGAUAACUUCAGGAAACUGGGGCUAAUACCGGAUAGGAGCUCCUGCUGCAUGGUGGGGGUUGGAAAGUUUCGGCGGUUGGGGAUGGACUCGCGGCUUAUCAGCUUGUUGGUGGGGUAGUGGCUUACCAAGGCUUUGACGGGUAGCCGGCCUGAGAGGGUGACCGGCCACAUUGGGACUGAGAUACGGCCCAGACUCCUACGGGAGGCAGCAGUGGGGAAUAUUGCACAAUGGGCGGAAGCCUGAUGCAGCAACGCCGCGUGCGGGAUGACGGCCUUCGGGUUGUAAACCGCUUUCGCCUGUGACGAAGCGUGAGUGACGGUAAUGGGUAAAGAAGCACCGGCUAACUACGUG
rnacentral:rRNA from 1 species